rnacentral:rRNA from 1 species
UACAGAGGUCUCAAGCGUUGUUCGGAUUCAUUGGGCGUAAAGGGUGCGUAGGUGGCGCCAUAACUCAGGUGUGAAAUCUCGGGGCUCAACCCCGAAACUGCACUUGAUACUGUGGUGCUCGAGUACUGGAGAGGAGAUUGGAAUUUACGGUGUAGCAGUGAAAUGCGUAGAUAUCGUAAGGAAGACCAGUGGCGAAGGCGAAUCUCUGGACAGUUACUGACACUGAGGCACGAAGGCCAGGGGAGCAAACGGG